CCCUUGAAAUUGCAUACUUGCAUGGAAUUAUAUGAAGAGCACUACAGAUUUUCAAAAAACUCACUAAAAGUGUUGACUGUGUAGUCAAAAAAGUCAUAGGUGCAGUUUGCCUUUAAUGAAGAAAGUUAAGAGUAAAGGAAGGCGCUUUAUUUUGUAGAUUGUUCCCUCCUUCUUUAUGAGCUAAUGCCUUUUUCAUAUUCAUCAUUAUAUUUUGUUAUGUAAUGCCUUCUGGAUUCCACUUCACAACCACCAUCAACAGCCAUGGAACUAAUUAACUCAUCAAGCACUCCAUGAAGGAAAGCUCUGCAAUCUGCAUGCAGCAUGAAUCUGCCACAACACAACACAGGGUCCCUCUAUCUUAUUUUCUAUAUCCCGGUGUGAAGAGUGUUCCAUAAUGUCACCAGCUGAGAGAGGGAGGAUAGUUGAUCCUGUACUGUAUUCAGAACUGGCUGGAGAGUCUUCAUACAGAUCCAUUUGCCUGAAUCAUAUUUAAAAAAUAUUAGUAUUCUUGUUAAGCAUACAGGAAAUUAUAUUUUUAAAGUCUUUAAAGUACCUCCAACAUGGCUGGCCUCCCUCAUUACUACUCAAGUCUUCAACCAUAUUUUUAAGAUCAGCAAGCUUUUAAACC